GGCUACGGUAGCGCAAGAGGAACCUACAGACCGUACAUGGACAGACGAGGACACGAGGGCCUUAAUCCCGUGGCGGUCGGUGCACAAAUCCCUCUUCACGGGGAAGAGGAACGCCUCCGUGACUGGAUUUGAAGACGUUUCCUGGAGGUGCUGGUGCUGGUUCUGGUGCUGGCUGGUCCUCUGCUGCCCUCCCGACAUCUGCAUCUGGCUCCAGCAGGUCACCGUUGGUGAGGCAGAUGUUGUGGAGCACAGUGCAGCAGACAAUGACCUCUGGCACAAACCUCACAUCCACCUCCAGGGCCUUCAAGAAGAUGGACCGCCAUCGCGUCUUCAGUAUCCCAAAGGACCUCUCCACAACACACCUCGCCUUUGACAGGCAGCAGUUGUAGCGUGCUUGGAGGUGGUUGCGGACAGGCUGCCUGAAGGGGGUCAUGAGGCAGAUGGGUUGGGACAGGCAGGGGUAGCCACCAUCCCCAAGGAUACAGUAUCCUGGUGGAGGGUAUGACUGCUC
ensembl:lncRNA